rnacentral:rRNA from 1 species
UUGCAUAUCAAUAAGCGGAGGAAAAGAAACCAACAGGGAUUGCCCUAGUAACGGCGAGUGAAGCGGCAACAGCUCAAAUUUGAAAGCUGGCCUUCGGGUCCGCAUUGUAAUUUGUAGAGGAUGCUUUGGGUGAAACGCCAGUCUAAGUUCCUUGGAACAGGACGUCAUAGAGGGUGAGAAUCCCGUAUGUGACUGGAAAUGUUAACCUAUGUAAAGCUCCUUCGACGAGUCGAGUUGUUUGGGAAUGCAGCUCUAAAUGGGAGGUAAAUUUCUUCUAAAGCUAAAUAUUGGCGAGAGACCGAUAGCGCACAAGUAGAGUGAUCGAAAGAUGAAAAGCACUUUGGAAAGAGAGUUAAAAAGCACGUGAAAUUGUUGAAAGGGAAGCGCUUGCAAUCAGACUUGUUUAAACUGUUCGGCCGGUCUUCUGACCGGUUUACUCAGUUUGGACAGGCCAGCAUCAGUUUCGGCGGCCGGAUAAAGGCUCUGGGAAUGUGGCCUUCACUUCGGUGAAGGUGUUAUAGCCCAGGGUGUAAUACGGCCAGCCGGGACUGAGGUCCGCGCUCGGCUAGAUGC